GUUUGAUAAAUUUAAGGUGGUAGUUGGACAUUUAUUUUUUGUAUAUAUUUAUUUUAUUUGAAUGAAAAGUUUAUAUUCAUGUUAACGACUUAUUGUAUUCCUAUAUAUUAUGUUAAGAAAAAUGUCAAUGGGUUGAGUCAGAGGAUGCAUUAGUUCAAUGCACAUGGAACAAUAUUUUCAAAAACCAAUUGAAAGGUUUGUUGUCAAAUGAGAGGGAACUAGCGAUGAAAGAACAUGAAGUUUAUAACAUCAUACACUGUAAAGGAAUGGAGCAAAGGUGGAUCACUGCUCUGAUAUGGGAUGCUCUUAUUGAGAAUGUACAGAGCACUCCAAAAUGACAAAAGUUCUUGGCCAAAGCCAAAGCAAAUCAUUAGACACAAAAAGAAAAAAAUAUUAUAAAGCACAUUAACGGUUUGAUUGCAUUUCCUAUUCAUAGAAAAAAUGGUAUGAUCUUUUUUCACGAAUUAUUUCUAUUAUCACAUUUCAAUUUUAUAUAAGUUGUAUUGUUAUAUAUUUCAUUGAAUGUCUUUAAAGGAAUGCAGUCACUUGAGAUGCAAUGAGAACCUAUAUUUAAAGAAUGGUUCAAUCACACUCACAGAUAUUUAGGAGG
rnacentral:lncRNA from 1 species